AUAACGACCAGGACGGGCCAAUGGCCGAUCAAUAAGGUCUAUGGCCUCGGUCGGUGACCUUCAUUGCACUUUGAAGGGGUGCAGCCUAAGGUCGACCCAAGUAUUCGAGCCUAUAUCGUAAUC
rnacentral:snRNA from 14 species